AAUAUUAAAACAAUACAACAAUUCCCCAGAAACUGGUAACACCGAUUCAUGAGCUCUAACGUAUGAAUACAAGUCUGACAAUAAAAUACAUUAUCUAAAUCAAUAACAAUAGUAAAAUGAUAGAAGGAGAUGCCAGGGACUGCGAUUAGGGUGCAGCUCUACCUCGGGACUCCACUGCAACAACCAUGAAUCCCAAUGCUCAGUUGGGUCCAACUCCCGUAUCUAAAAAUUAAGUGCAGAGUGUAGUUUGAGUAAAACCGACACCAUAUACUCAGUAAGUAUCAUGACUAACCUCGGUGAGAAAGUGGAGAGAAUGGAUACUCACUAAUCAAAACUAUACAGUUCAUUAAUAUAUAUGUACACAACAACAGUACCUGAAUUUAAGCAUGCUAAUCAGCUAAUAGUUCAUCAUAUAGAGAUGAUAUACAAGAAUAAAAAAUCAAGUUGCACAAAGUCGACAUAUAAGGAAUAUAUGUAACGUGAAUCAUUAAUCAGCUAAUUAGCAUACAAAGAAAAUAUUUAUAAAAGGCAUGUAUACAUUUUUAGGCUAGCAUAUAGAGAAGCUAUGCAGUAAAAACAUGUAUACAUCCAAGGAGCUUGCAUAGAUAGAAGAUACACAAAGUCCAAACACUGAUAAGAUUUCAUAAUUCGUGUGUACGACAUCAAAGAGAAAUAUGACAUGAUGACCCUAGGGGGGUGGAUCCUUAUCCACACGUUGCACGGACAACUCACAUGCUCCCAAACUAUUCUAUAUCACAUAAAGCAUAUGCAAGAAUACAUGUAUACGAAUAACAGUUAUCAAAUCACAUACUCAUGCACUGAGGAAAAUAGCAUGCAAAGGUGUAUGGAUGUGCGAAGUGUACAAAUACAACUCAGAUUAGGCAUGUAUGCCAUACAGUAACAAGUAUCAUGCUCUAAUAGAAUGUCACGCCUAUACAAGGUCUCUAACAUGAUUCAAGGAGCUCAAGGAAUCAUACCAGUGUUCAAAAUAGAAAUCAUAAGAAGUGCAUAGUCGGAAUAAGACAUAUUAGAAGUUUACAGUCCAAUCAUGUCAAAAUCAUACAUAACACCCGCAUAUACACUCGUCACCUCGCUUAUACUCGCUCUUCACAAAUUUUAAUUAGCCAAGUCACACCCAAGGGGUAUACCCUCAUAAUAGAUUAGGCAAGAUACUUUUAAAAAACAAGAUCAAUAUAGCUAGAACAUGUUCCCCUUAGAAAUCAUCUCCAACCGGCUCGAAUCUAACCAAAAAUAACUCAAUAACGUCAAACAAAGCCAUAGAAAUCAAUUCCUAACAAUAAAGCUUCAAUCUUUAUUUGUUUUUCAAAAAGUCAACCAAAGUUAGCCCGAGCUCACAUGGUCAAACUUUGAAUCAAGAAGUAGAUCAUCUUAGAUUCCAAAACGAAAUCAAAAUCAACCUUCCAAUCCCCAAAAUUCAUCCUCUUAAGUUGUAGGAAAACUCCCCAAUUUUUCCUCCGAAAUCUCAUUAUUAAUAUUUAUAAAUCCAUGGAAAUUCAAAAUAUAUAGACAAAUCCAAGUGAGGAUUACUUACCAACAAAGUUGUGAUCCCAAAAACCUGUCACGGCCCAAAAUCCACCUAGUUGUGAUUGCACCUAACCCAACCUACUAGAUAAGCCAAACAACAGUCAACAUAACUCAAAUGGGAAUAAUACGAGUCAAUAAGUGAAAUAAUUGAAUUUUCAUUCAAUAACCCAAGGAUUAGUAGUACAAGUCAUGAGCCACUAAAACAUAGAUUUACAAAUACUGGUAUGAAAAUCUUGUUGGAAUAUACAUAAGCAGAUUACAAAUCUAAAACUACCAAGGACAAGUGGUAGCUAUGUCCGGAAAGCAAGUUCAUCUUCAAUGCCAACUCCCGUCGUACACAACAGCUUCAGCUCCAAAAUAUGCACUCAAGGUGCAAAAAUGUAGUAUAAGUAUGAACGACACCAUGUACUUAAUAACUAACAAACCUAACCCCGGGCUGAAAGCAAUGAUGAGCUCGGAAGAAGCUCAGUGUCUAACACCAAUAAUUAGUAGCGACACACAAUACAACAAUGACAGAAGAGGAAACAACUAGAGAGAUAUAAUGUUCAACUCGUUCAAAAAUACAGAAAAUUAGACAUGCCUUUCGAGUAUAAUAGUCAAAGACUUAAUCUUAUCACCGAAAUCACUAAACCAUGAAUUUAUAAUAAAGCUGUGAUUUCUAACUUUCAACAAUAGGUAAGGCAUUUCAAUUACCAUCUAGCACAAGGAAAAUGCAUCUUUAUGCCUACAUGUCAAAUAUACAUGUCAAGUCAAUACAUCAUUUUACCAUGUAGCAUGAGGAAAAUACAUCUCUAUCCCUACAUGUCAAAUCAAUAACAUCAUUUUACCAUCUAGCAUGAGGAAAAUACAUCUCUAUGUUUACAUGUCAAAUAAAUACCAUCAUAGAGAAUCCAUCAACUAUACUCACACUCAGCACGCUCAUGGUGCCUGGCAUAAAUGCCCCUCAUCAACACACACACAACCAUACUCAGCACUAUACGGGUGCCUCGCACAAAUGCCCCUCACCAAAGAACAUAUGUAUCUCUUUGCCUACGCUUAAUGUGAAUACCAGACUUUAGAGGGCCGGAUCUUUGCCCAAGCUCUAAUUAAUAAUCAAUAUCACAUAGCCUAACAUAGUGUCCGGUGCACGCAUCACCUCUAAACAAUGCCACUCAGUGCAAUGUGAGGCUAGGAGAAGUUGGUUUCAUCUGGGCCCGACCUUACUUGGUAUAAAUACAUAGAAAAACGUUAUUUUCUGGACUUUUGACACAUAUUCGACCUAAGGGAGGAUAAGGAGGAGUUGGAAGAACACGAGCACAAGGAUUUCAUCAUUCCUUCCUCUCUCAAGACCCGAGUUUGGAUUGAAUUUAUGUUUUCCUAUACUUUAACUUUAUUUGUGAUGAAUUUCUCCAUAUCUAUGGAGUAUUUCUCUUUAGGGUUUAAUGGAUUUGUUGUGUUGAUGAUUACUUGUAGAUUAUAACUCUAGUUUUAUGUAUUGAAGCUAUCUUUGGAUGAUUUAACUGUUGCAUCUAUAUUCACUUGUUCAUGUAAUCGAGAGAGGCAUAACGUGUGAUAUCUUUGCAUUAUAUUGUUGGUUGAGUUCAUUAAUUCUUCUUAGUAAUCGAAAGAGGUUAGUUGAAUAAUUGAUUAAACCUAGUUAGGAGAAUAAUCGAAAGAGAUUUUCCUAAAGACAAAUCCACUAUGCAUUCUAGCAUAUCUUCAUGUACUUAAAUUGGUUUAUCUUGUGAGGUUAAGACUGAAUUAAGAGAGGAGUUUUUGCUGAAUAUUUGAAUUAAUAAUUGAGUGCAUUCGAUAGAAUCACUUAAAAAUUAGAAGUGAAGUAUCUAGAGUUAUAUCCCAAACAAUUAUCUUGCACCUAUCCUAUCAACCCCUAUUUUUUCCCCACUGAUAAUCCUCUUUGUUUUGAUUGUCAUUAGUCAAUAGUUUUAGACUCUUAGUUAAUUUUAGUUAGAAAUCAUAGAAAUCUCAAUUGUUAAUCAUCUUGAAUAGCAAUCAAGCUAGAAACCACAAGAAUAUUGUUUAAAUCCAAUUCCUAUGGAUACGAUAUUAUACUAUACUAUAUCUAAUGUGUGGACUAAUAUACAUAUGAGCCUAAUGUCAACUAAUCUAUUUGUCCAAAAAUAACCUGACUUUUAUAGUAAAUGACUGUUAUAUACAGAUACUAUUAUAGAGAGGUCCAAUAGUAUAUAUGAAAGUACCUAAGAAGUGAAGGGAUGGGCAGUUGAUAGGAGCAAACUUUAAGUGUGUGUUUUGCGCUCGUCAAAUUUUGGCGGCAUUGAGGGGGAUUGGCAAUCAAUAGUUUUUAGUGCUAAUUCAGGAAUUAGGUUUUAGUUUUUAUUCUUUUCUUUUCUUUUUCCUUUUCUAUUUUAUUUUCAUUAUUAGUUAACUUCUUUUCAAGAUUUGUUUUGUAGUACCUAACAAGUUGGAGAAGAGAUUAUAGAUUUUAAACUCUAAAUGUUGUGAAGAUGGAGUACAACCAGCCUAAGAAAAUGGUUGAAGAGUUAGGAGUUGAAUAUUAUCAGCGAUCUGCUAUGUGUUUUAAAUGCGGUGGAAAUCACAUAUGGGUUGACUGUCGAGCAAGUAUGUAUUCUUCCUAUGGUUCGUAUUUUGAGUAGUCUCACUCUGUUUCUAGUUCAUAUAGGUAUGAGGAUUCAUAUGGGCACAAUUUUGACUCUGGUUGGGAUGAAUACCCUUAUUAUGACUGGAAUGAAAGCAAAGUGAGACAACCACCUCAAGAGGAGAAUGGUUGUUUAGAAGCUUUUAUGCAUAGGUUCAUGAAUAGUGUUGAAGAAAGGUUUAUGCAAAAUGAUGAAGCUAUUAAGAACACAACAACGCGAGUGAGUCAAUUAAUAAGUAUACUUUUAAUAAGUAUACUUUCAGAAAUCUCAUUGUGUUGUGAUGGUGAAUAUAUGGAGGAGAUACUAUGUAAGAACGAGCCAACUCAAGAGGAUGAGCAUCCACAGAGAGAGCUUUUCACAAUUCAAGAGGACUCUGAUUCAACUAAGAUGAUUGAAAAUAAGGCUGUGGUUGAGUGUGAAGCAACGGAAAAAGAGUUCAAACCCCCAUCCACCUUUCCACAUUUUCAACCUUUAGUAGAAGAGAAUGAGAAACAAAUGAAAUAUGUAUGGAUUGAUCCUGUGAAAUAAUGCAGAAACAAGUUAAGGAUCAUCAUGAACGAGCAAUUCACUACUCAAGAUGAGGACAAGAAAGUAAGAAAAGAGCGGGUCUUGCAGGUAUCCUUAGAAAAAUUGGGGUUAAUGAGCUCCACAAAAAAUCUCAAGGAGCGAAAAUAUGGAAUGAAUUCAGAAUUAGGGAUGGAGUUCAUAAGUUCUCGGAAAAGAAGAAAAUUCAGGGAAGUUUCCUUUACCUCUUGCUUUUUAAUUAUGUGUCAUGGGGACACAUCACAACUUAAAGUGUGGGGUGGGGGAUAUUUGUAUAUUUGUAUGUAUGAAUGUAUGUAUAUUAGUUUUCGUUUUUGUUAGUUGUAGUAGUUGGAGGUAGAAAAUAAUUGAAAAAACAUAAAAAUUGAAAAGAAUUUAAAAUUUUCGAUUUUUCCCUGCGAUGGAUAUCAUUCGACAAGUUUCGUGAGGGAUUAAAGUCGAAAGAAAAAAAAAGAUUUUCUUUUGUUAGGUAGUGUAACAAGUCCCCCUUGGGUUUUCUUUGUGCCGCGGUUCUUUUCCAAGGGUUUUGUUUGAACCGGGUGUAGUUAGUUUUAAUAUUUGUUAGGAGAAGGAAACCUUGUGCUAUGGUUUAGAUUAAAGGCAAUAUUUUCUGACUCUAUUAUACCUUGAGAAUAGUGUGACUACUUUAAUGUGAUGAUUAGGCUCAGUUUUAGACUCUUGUAUAAGUACCUUAAAUUGUUUGAUCUUAACUUUGCUUAACUGCUUUGACUAUAGUAUCUUGAUGAGUCUGAUUUUGAGUGAGUUAUGUGCCAUGUGUGUAUAAGGUUUUGUGUUAUUCUGUGCAUUACAUUUGAUGUCUAGAACUUUCCCCGUGUGUUUGCAAAGGGAAAUAGUAGUUGUAUUCAGUCUUGGAAGGGAUAUCGGCGUUUCUUUGUUGAGCCAGAUGUAUGUUUUUGCCUACCUAAUUAUUAUGUAUCGUAGUUAAGCCCUUUGAGCCUAUACUCUUAUUUCUUUGGCAACCACAUUACAAGCCCUAACUAUUUGUUUGAAUUGACCAUCUAUUUGAACCUUGUACCUCUCGUGAGCACUUGAAUUUAGUAUGAACUUUAUAAAAGUUGAAGUGCGGGGUGGUUGGUUUGGCUUUUGAGUGGAACUAAUGAAAUAAGGAGAAAGGUGCAUUGUAUUAAAAACGUAAGAUCCACUUGAAUUGAAAAAGAAAAUGAAAAAAAAAAAGUUGUAUUGUUGCGCAAAAUAUUCCUUGAUAGUGGUGACUCUUGAUGUAUUUGUGCUUAAAGAAGUAGGAAGUUAAUGUAUAUUGAUGUGAAGGUGGAGUUUUGGUUUGACAUAAGUGUGGAGUUUUGAACAAUGAAAUGUAUCUAUUAAAGUCCUUAGGGAGGUGUAUUCACUCUUAUAUCUAAAUGUAUUCUUCCCGUCCUGCAGCCUACAUUACAACCAAGUAAAGUCCUACUUGAUCCUUGACUGAAUGAGCUCAAUUAGUAGAGUAGUACACUAAGGGUAAGCUUAUGGUAUGUCUUUUAUAGCAAAUGAAUGCUGUUUCUGAGAGUGUGUGAAUUAUUUCUAUCUUGAGUUCCUAAUUGUUCUUAAAUUCUAUUACGUGUGGAACUGCUCUCUAUUGUUCUGUGAGGCAUUUAAUUCAUGAAAGAAAUGUAAUGCCAUUGAUCUCUGUGUUAGAGUAAGUGAGCGGGAUGCGAAAACUGUGUGGUGCUUUUGAGUCAAAUCUUGAGGAAAGGAUGUUACGUUAGAGUGCUUAAUCUGUUUUAAUUAUUCUUGGUGUGAUGAGUUAUGAGAGUUCUUUAAAAAGGUCAUGUCUAUGUGAAGUGUAGUUUGAUUGCUCGAGGACGAGCAAUGAUUUAAGUGCACAUCUACGAUUAACACUCCGAAGAUGCUGAAGCACCAGAACAAAAACAUUCUUCAGCAAAGCAACAUAGUCCAAAAUUAAUCUAAAAUAUACCUGAGGCCCCCAGAACCUGGUCCAAACAUACCAAUCAACCCCAAAUCACACUGAACAACAUCAAAACCAUGAAUCGUUGAUCAAGAUCAAUUUCUUAAGUUCAAAAACUUCUAGCUUCAAACCAAAUAUCUUAUUCAAGCCUAACCAAUACGAAAUCAAACCAAACUUUGUAUACAAGUCCCGAAUAAAAUAAUAAACAUAUUCAAUCUUUCGGAACAACAAUCCGAACUCAAUAACAUCGAGGACUAUCCCGGUCAAACCUAUUAACAUUCCAAACCUUCAAAUUUCCAACUUUCACCAAUUAAAGCUAAAAUAUUCUAGAAACAUCCAAAUGCGAAUCCGAGCAUACGACCAAUAACAACAUCACCAUCCGGACCUAACAGAACCAUAAAAACUCCGAUCCGAGAUCAAAUAUACAAAAGUUAAACAUGAUUAACUCUUUCAACUUAAAGCUUCCAAAUUUGGAACCAUUCUUCAAAAUCAAUCCUGAACCACUUAAAACCCAAACUCACCAUACACGCAAGUCACAAUACUUCAUAUGAAACUGCUCAAGACCUUAAACAACUAAAUAAAAUGCAAAUGCUCAAAAUGAUCGGUCGAGUCGAUACAAAAUCACUUCUGGCCAAGAUCCAAAACUCCAUACAAUAAACAAUAAGCUAACCCUUGAAAUAUAACCUUUUCUGCAAUUGAUUCCGCAUAUACAGACAAACAACGUUGCACCUGCAACCUCGCAUCUGCGAGACCUUCCUCGCAUAUAGAGCCAACACACCGUAGGAACCUCCAAAUUCAAAUUCAGGCAUACGCCUAUGUCCAAAAUCACCAUACAAACCUAUUGGAAGCAUCAAACCACCAAUAUGAGGUCGUCUUCUCAAAAUUCAAACCUUCAACUCUUAACAACUUAAGCUUCCAAAAUAAGACCAAGUGUUCCAAUCAUUUUCAAACCUUCCCAAAGCUAAGCUAACCAACCCUGAAAGCCACAAUUCUAGAUAUUCUAAAACCUCAGUCCAGAUUCUACCGGUAGAGAAAUCAUAGGUCCAAGAAUUGUAGUCUAUAUAGGAAACUCAGGUUCUAUUAGUAGUAUUUAUCUAGCAUGUUUGUUGAUCGGGAGCCUACUUCCAAUAGCCUUAGCAAUAGUGUCCCUAUGUUGAAUAUUUGCUUGAGUAGCCUCCUGCUUAUAUGUGUGAUCGAAAAAAUAUCCAUAAUAAGACUAUACUAAGACACUGCCCUUGACUCACAGAAAUUUAAACCUAGAGAUCUAAUACCAAGUUUGUCAUGAUCUAAACUUAAUAUAGAUCAAGAUUGUAGAUUAAAACAAUACAUGAGAGUCAUUCAAGCAAGAAAACAUAAUGAUAAGUAAAUUAAACAGGAUGGUAUGAAAGGUUUAGGAACAUCAUUCAACCAUCUUAAUCCACAUGAUAAUAUGAGCAUAAGUUUCACUCAAUCAACAGAGCAAUAGUAUAGGCAAAACAAGCUUCCAACACAGUGAUUAGUGUACAGAGUUAAAAUGAUGAGGAUCACAAUAAUAUCAAUUCAAUUAGUUAAGAAAUAUACCUAAUGACAAUAUCAAUAUGAGAAAACAGAGUCCAAUCAUAAAAUGUUGACUGAAACAACAACAUAGGACAUAAUCAUAGUUGUUGGCAGGAGGUAUCAAUUAAUUAAAUGAAGAGUAACACAAGCAGCAAAAUUCAGUUGAGUAUCGCAUACUUGACUAACGAGUGUCAUGAAGAAGAAUAGGCCAUGAUUAACAGAAAAUACAUCAAAUGAAUAGAACUACAUGAUAAUUACACGAGAUAACUAAAUAACAAAAGGGGUCAGUGGUUUACUGACCUUCGUGGAGAAUUAAAGCAAGUAGAGGUAAUUACUAGCCAUUUAGAGACCCAAUCUUACAAUUAUCUUGUUGUAGUUAAAACUCGAGGAGAGGUGAAAGAAAAGAAAAACAUUAGAGAAGAUAUUCAGAGUAUUUAAGCAGAUAGUAUUUACUUAGGGUUUUAGGUAGGUCAUGUGUUGCUAAGAGCAUUAAAGUCAUUUAUUUAUAGUGACCAUUGGAGCCUUAGGUUUCGUUUGAGUUUGAAUGAUUUAGUGGAAGAUGAUGAUGACACUGAUGAGAGCAAGAGAAGAAAAGAUGAGGAAAAUAGAGGGGGAAAUUAGAAGGAGAGUUUUACCUUCUCGAAAUAAAGGAGGAAUAGAUCUUUGAGGCCAAACAGACUGCUUGUUAAAACCAAUGUACGGAGGUCGCUCUGUUUGACCUCUGGACCAAGAAGUUUCAUAGUGAUGUCUGAGAUCUCAUAUAUCUAUAGUUUGCAUGCAAUGAUUUCAAUGAGCAAAUGGUGAAAUGAUGAGAUUCUAAUACUUUCAUGUUUAGGUCUAGAGUUUGGGGGUUUGAGAUUCAAAUUAGGUGAUGGGAAAAGGUAAGCUCAGUGAUAUUCGCGGUUGACAGAUGAGGAAUGAUGAAGUAUUGGUCAACUUGAGUGACCUUGCACGGAUUAGUGCAAGAUUUCUGAGACUGAUGAUGUAUGUGGAGAAGAGAUAAAAGAGAGAGAAAAAGGAAAGAAGGGC
rnacentral:lncRNA from 1 species